rnacentral:rRNA from 1 species
AGCGAACGCUGGCGGCAGGCCUAACACAUGCAAGUCGAACGAACUCUUCGGAGUUAGUGGCGGACGGGUGAGUAACACGUGGGAACGUGCCUUUAGGUUCGGAAUAACUCAGGGAAACUUGAGCUAAUACCGGAUGUGCCCUUCGGGGGAAAGAUUUAUCGCCUUUAGAGCGGCCCGCGUCUGAUUAGCUAGUUGGUGAGGUAAAGGCUCACCAAGGCGACGAUCAGUAGCUGGUCUGAGAGGAUGAUCAGCCACAUUGGGACUGAGACACGGCCCAAACUCCUACGGGAGGCAGCAGUGGGGAAUCUUGCGCAAUGGGCGAAAGCCUGACGCAGCCAUGCCGCGUGAAUGAUGAAGGUCUUAGGAUUGUAAAAUUCUUUCACCGGGGACGAUAAUGACGGUACCCGGAGAAGAAGCCCGGGCUAACUUCGUG